CACGUAGGAGGCAAACGUUAUCCGGAUUUACUGGGCGUAAAGCGCGUGUAGGUGGUUCUGUAAGUAGGGCGUGAAAGCUCCCGGCUCAACUGGGAGAGGCCGUUCUAAACUGCAGAGCUAGAGGAUGGUAGAGGAGGUGGAAUUCCAGGUGUAGCGGUGGAAUGCGCAGAUAUCUGGAGGAACACCAGCGGCGAAGGCGGCCUCCUGGACCAUUCCUGACACUCAGACGCGAAAGCUAGGGUAGCAAACGGGAUUAGAUACCCUGGUAGU
rnacentral:rRNA from 1 species